UAAAGUUUCCUUGGGCUCUCAGAACCCUCUCAAGCUCUGGCAAGGCCUUGGUGCUAGUCAUGAUUGCCCUUCCACUCAUUCCGGAUGGAAUAUUCCUGACCAGCUAAGUUCUGUCUGCUUUGAAGCUGUUUGCCAGUGUUCCCGCCCAUAAGAAUCACCUGGGGUCUGGGGGUGGGGGCUGUGAAAGGCAGCGAGUCCAGGGUCUCUCUCUGGUGAUGCGGAACUAGUAAUCAGAGGAGGCACCUGGAAGCUGCCCGCUUAGCAAGUGUUCCAGGUGAUUCUCAGGACCAGGAAAGUCUGGGGAAUGCCGCGCAGACUCUGCGCUCCGCUGGUAGCCACCGCUGCGGCCCUGAGAGGAAGGAGAGUUCGCAGCAGCAGAUGCCCGGGCCUCGUUCCAGGAUGCUGACCCCGGUAUUCACUCCACUGUGCAUCCCCGAGCCGCGACAAGCCGGCCCACCCAGGCUUCCGUAGCGCAGGCCGCCCAGAGGGCGCUCACACCCCCACCAGGCCUCCUGCUGCCCAGCUUCCCCGGGGGGCUGGGAGACCCACACCUCGGCCCGGGAGCCACUGGGCUCUGAGCUCCAGCCAGCCAGCCCCUGCAAGCAAGAUCUUCACAGCUGAAAGAACACUCGGCCAGGGCAGUUCUCUGAUUUUUAUCAUGUUUAAUCAAGCUCGAUCCGCUCACUGCAGCCUUGUGUUUCAAGGAAGGCUGACCCCACCUGCAGACCUUGGAGGGGGUCUGGACCUUUCUAGAGUUGGUCUGGAGCCACACUGAGCAUGCACCGAGGGGUGGGUUCCUGCUUGAGGACUGCCCUAGCGAACCCAGGCUGUAAACAUUUCCACUCAUUCUGAUACGGAGACCUGAGCAGUACCCAAGAUGCCACAUAAGUGACCAGAAUGCAGGCGUGACUGACCGUCCAAGAAUCAGCUUGCUGUUCACAGAGCAAAGUCGAAUUCUCCAAAGGGACAAAGAUACGCACGUGUCCCAGGGGUGUUACAGCCUGGGCACCACAGGCCAUUUUCAGUUUUUCAGUUUUUUCCACACGGAGCCUUGCAGGGUGUAGCAAAGCUGCUGUCAGCUGUCUUCCUUGACCUGCGUCUCACAGGGCUUGUAUCUUCCACUGAUAAAGAGAAGUCUUUCCCUGUGACAGUCCAAAGAAUUUCUUCUUCACUCAGCCGGAUUCCCCCCCCUCUCUUGACAAUGUGAUGUGCAUGGUCUUAAACAAGCUUUACUGUUUCGCCUGAACCUCUGUGGGUGUUGAUCCUAAUUU